rnacentral:rRNA from 1 species
AUUGAACGCUGGCGGCAUGCUUUACACAUGCAAGUCGAACGGUAACAGGUCUUCGGAUGCUGACGAGUGGCGAACGGGUGAGUAAUGCAUCGGAACGUGCCCAGUCGUGGGGGAUAACGCAGCGAAAGCUGCGCUAAUACCGCAUACGAUCUAUGGAUGAAAGCGGGGGACCGUAAGGCCUCGCGCGAUUGGAGUGGCCGAUGUCAGAUUAGGUAGUUGGUGGGGUAAAGGCCCACCAAGCCAACGAUCUGUAGCUGGUCUGAGAGGACGACCAGCCACACUGGGACUGAGACACGGCCCAGACUCCUACGGGAGGCAGCAGUGGGGAAUUUUGGACAAUGGGCGCAAGCCUGAUCCAGCAAUGCCGCGUGCAGGAAGAAGGCCUUCGGGUUGUAAACUGCUUUUGUACGGAACGAAACGGCUCUCUCUAAUACAGAGGGCUAAUGACGGUACCGUAAGAAUAAGCACCGGCUAACUACGUGCCAGCCGCCGCUGUAAGAC